rnacentral:rRNA from 1 species
GAUGAACGCUGGCGGCGUGCCUAAUACAUGCAAGUCGAGCGAACGGACGAGAAGCUUGCUUCUCUGAUGUUAGCGGCGGACGGGUGAGUAACACGUGGAUAACCUACCUAUAAGACUGGGAUAACUUCGGGAAACCGUAGCUAAUACCGGAUAAUAUUUUGAACCGCAUGGUUCAAAAGUGAAAGACGGUCUUGCUGUCACUUAUAGAUGGAUCCGCGCUGCAUUAGCUAGUUGGUAAGGUAACGGCUUACCAAGGCAACGAUGCAUAGCCGACCUGAGAGGGUGAUCGGCCACACUGGCACUGAGACACGGUCCAGACUCCUACGGGAGGCAGCAGUAGGGAAUCUUCCGCAAUGGGCGAAAGCCUGACGGAGCAACGACGCGUGAGUGAUGAAGGUCUUCGGAUCGUAAAACUCUGUUAUUAGGGAAGAACAUAUGUGUAAGUAACUGUGCACAUCUUGACGGUACCUAAUCAGAAAGCCACGGCUAACUACGUG